rnacentral:rRNA from 1 species
GCGACCCCAGGUCAGGCGGGACCACCCGCUGAGUUUAAGCAUAUCAAUAAGCG